rnacentral:lncRNA from 1 species
CACUUAUGUUUGCAGGGUGAGGGAGCAUGACCAGCCCCGAAUGGGACCCUGGGCAUUAGCCAUUCGCUUUUCUUUAGGAGAAAGAAGACUGCCGUCCGCUUGAGAGGCAAAGCCCUAGUGACGGAAGAACGGUAGAUCUUCUGAAUUUCGAGGGCAGUGAAGUAGGAGCGUAGCAGAGGGCGUACGAAAGACAACACGUUGGAAGGAAGAUUGAUACAGACAAAAGCAGCAUGAUUCAGGCCUGGAAACUGAGUUUUGGAAGGAUUCAGUAACGGCCGGCCACUCCGUGGGGCCUCUCUGUCCAGCCCGAGUCAGACCCUUCUCCACUGUCCAUGGUUUUGAAAGUCUUCCACACCGAGUGACCAGCCUAGAAAGCUCUUGCCGGCCGGUGAUGGAAGUGAGCUGGAGCAGUGGGAGAAGCUGGUAACUUCUCGGAAGCCAAGAUGACAAGAAUUGUUUUAAAUAAUCAGUAAGUGACAUUUCGUUAGCCCUCUGGAAGUCUUUGGUUUACUGGUGAACAUUCUCUAAGAGACAAUGGUGGAAAAGUGGCUCGAUCAGAUAGCUUAAAAGUCUGAAAGAGAAAAUGUUUAAAAAGUAAAUAUCCAAACACCUCAAAAUAUUGAUUCUAACAUUUGCACAGUUUUUGUGUGUUGGUAGCUGUGUCCUUUUACGUUGGGUGUCACAGCUGGGCAGACGUAACAUGAGUAAUUAAUGAAUCAAAGGAGGACUCCUUUUAUAUUAACUUGGGACUAGCCCUUUGCAAAUAGACAUUCUUGUUCCCGUUGGUUCAGUGAGCAGCACGGCUUACCGACCUCGGGUGUGCACGUUUUGGGAAGUCCCCAUGAAUAAACG